AUUGAACGCUGGCGGCAGGCCUAACACAUGCAAGUCGAGCGAGCGGCGGACGGGUGAGUAAUGUAUGGGGACUGCCCGAUAGAGGGGGAUAACUACUGGAAACGGUGGCUAAUACAGCAUACUAUCGGAUAACCCAUAUGGGAUUAGCUAGUAGGUGGGGUAAAGGCUCACCUAGGCGACGAUCGCUAGCUGGUCUGAGAGGAUGAUGAGCGACACUGGGACGGAGACACGGGCCAGACGACUACGGAGGCAGCGUUGGGGAAUAGUGCAAAAUGGGCGCAAGGCUGAUGCAGCCAUGCCGCGUGUAUGAAGAAGGCAUUAGGGUUGAAAAGUACUUUCAGCGGGGAGGCGUUACCCGCAGAAGAAGCACCGGCUAACUCCGUGACAGCAGCCGCGGUAAUUC
rnacentral:rRNA from 1 species